UUGUAAAUUUUUCAAAAAAAUUUGUGUAAUGCCAUGCCGUUACCGUCACGUUACCAACAUUAUAGGUCUGUUUUCGUUACUCGUGGCACGACUGUAAUUUAAAACUAUGACAAUGAGUGUAUAUAUAACCUUUUUUUUGUAUUAAUGGGCAAAAUAAAGAUAUAUAAUUGCUUACAGUUAUCUUCCAAUUCAGCAAAAUUAAACACAUUCAUAUCUUUUGAUAAAUUUCAUCUACAAUUAUUACAUUAAUUAUUUAUAAAAUUUUAACCAAAUUUAGAAAAAAUCAUAUUCUUUCUUUAUCCCUUAAGUUUCUCAUUUUAUAAUCUUAGUCACUACUAUUAAAAAUUUUCAUCCUCAAUACUAAAAAAUUAAGUAUAAAUUACAUAAUACCAAAGAAACUUUUAGGCUUUAACAAUAUUUGCUAAAUAUAACUUUAGGCUUUGGCAACAUAAAAUAUAAGGAAAACAAUAAUCAUUAAAUUAAUUUUCAUAACUUAAACAUUAAGUUUACAACCUAAGCUAAGGAUCAAAGUUCCCAGUCUCAUAAUCAAAGUUAAGAUAAUCAAGAAU
rnacentral:misc_RNA from 1 species